GAUGAACGCUGGCGGCGUGCCUAAUACAUGCAAGUCGAGCGAACAGAUGAGGAGCUUGCUCCUCUGACGUUAGCGGCGGACGGGUGAGUAACACGUGGAUAACCUACCUAUAAGACUGGGAUAACUUCGGGAAACCGGAGCUAAUACCGGAUAAUAUAUUGAACCGCAUGGUUCACUAGUGAAAGACGGUUUUGCUGUCACUUAUAGAUGUAUCCGCGCCGCAUUAGCUAGUUGGUAAGGUAACGGCUUACCAAGGCAACGAUGCGUAGCCGACCUGAGAGGGUGAUCGGCCACACUGGAACUGAGACACGGUCCAGAUUCCUACGGGAGGCAGCAGUAGGGAAUCUUCCGCAAUGGGCGAAAGCCUGACGGAGCAACGCCGCGUGAGUGAUGAAGGUCUUCGGAUCGUAAAACUCUGUUAUUAGGGAAGAACAAAUGUGUAAGUAACUAUGCACGUCUUGACGGUACCUAAUCAGAAAGCCACGGCUAACUACGUG
rnacentral:rRNA from 1 species